AUCUAGCUGACGAGUCCCAAAUAGGACGUAACGUGUAUCUUGAAU
rfam:Schistosoma mattheei strain Denwood, Zambia genome assembly, scaffold: SMTD_scaffold0005318